rnacentral:rRNA from 1 species
UACGUAGGGUGCGAGCGUUAAUCGGAUUUACUGGGCGUAAAGCGUGCGCAGGCGGCCCGUUAAGACAGGUGUGAAAUCCCUGGGCUCAACCUAGGAAUUGCGCUUGUGACUGGCGGGCUCGAGUACGGUAGAGGGGGGUGGAAUUCCUGGUGUAGCAGUGAAAUGCGUAGAGAUCAGGAGGAACACCGGUGGCGAAGGCAGCCCCCUGGGCCUGUACUGACGCUCAGGCACGAAAGCGUGGGGAGCAAACAGG